rnacentral:rRNA from 1 species
GAUGAACGCUGGCGGCGUGCCUAAUACAUGCAAGUCGAGCGAACGGACGAGAAGCUUGCUUCUCUGAUGUUAGCGGCGGACGGGUGAGUAACACGUGGAUAACCUACCUAUAAGACUGGGAUAACUUCGGGAAACCGGAGCUAAUACCGGAUAAUAUUUUGAACCGCAUGGUUCAAAAGUAAAAGACGGUCUUGCUGUCACUUAUAGAUGGAUCCGCGCUGCAUUAGCUAGUUGGUAAGGUAACGGCUUACCAAGGCAACGAUGCAUAGCCGACCUGAGAGGGUGAUCGGCCACACUGGAACUGAGACACGGUCCAGACUCCUACGGGAGGCAGCAGUAGGGAAUCUUCCGCAAUGGGCGAAAGCCUGACGGAGCAACGCCGCGUGAGUGAUGAAGGUCUUCGGAUCGUAAAACUCUGUUAUUAGGGAAGAACAUAUGUGUAAGUAACUGUGCACAUCUUGACGGUACCUAAUCAGAAAGCCACGGCUAACUACGUGCCAGCAGCCGCGGUAAUACGUAGGUGGCAAGCGUUAUCCGGAAUUAUUGGGCGUAAAGCGCGCGUAGGCGGUUUUUUAAGUCUGAUGUGAAAGCCCACGGCUCAACCGUGGAGGGUCAUUGGAAACUGGAAAACUUGAGUGCAGAAGAGGAAAGUGGAAUUCCAUGUGUAGCGGUGAAAUGCGCAGAGAUAUGGAGGAACACCAGUGGCGAAGGCGACUUUCUGGUCUGUAACUGACGCUGAUGUGCGAAAGCGUGGGGAUCAAACAGGAUUAGAUACCCUGGUAGUCCACGCCGUAAACGAUGAGUGCUAAGUGUUAGGGGGUUUCCGCCCCUUAGUGCUGCAGCUAACGCAUUAAGCACUCCGCCUGGGGAGUACGACCGCAAGGUUGAAACUCAAAGGAAUUGACGGGGACCCGUACAAGCGGUGGAGCAUGUGGUUUAAUUCGAAGCAACGCGAAGAACCUUACCAAAUCUUGACAUCCUUUGACAACUCUAGAGAUAGAGCCUUCCCCUUCGGGGGACAAAGUGACAGGUGGUGCAUGGUUGUCGUCAGCUCGUGUCGUGAGAUGUUGGGUUAAGUCCCGCAACGAGCGCAACCCUUAAGCUUAGUUGCCAUCAUUAAGUUGGGCACUCUAAGUUGACUGCCGGUGACAAACCGGAGGAAGGUGGGGAUGACGUCAAAUCAUCAUGCCCCUUAUGAUUUGGGCUACACACGUGCUACAAUGGACAAUACAAAGGGCAGCGAAACCGCGAGGUCAAGCAAAUCCCAUAAAGUUGUUCUCAGUUCGGAUUGUAGUCUGCAACUCGACUACAUGAAGCUGGAAUCGCUAGUAAUCGUAGAUCAGCAUGCUACGGUGAAUACGUUCCCGGGUCU